GAAAGCAUGGGGAGCGAACAGGAUUAGAUACCCUGGUAGUCCAUGCCGUAAACGUUGGGCACUAGGUGUGGGGGACAUUCCACGUUUUCCGCGCCGUAGCUAACGCAUUAAGUGCCCCGCCUGGGGAGUACGGCCGCAAGGCUAAAACUCAAAGGAAUUGACGGGGGCCCGCACAAGCGGCGGAGCAUGCGGAUUAAUUCGAUGCAACGCGAAGAACCUUACCAAGGCUUGACAUAUACCGGAUCGUUCCAGAGAUGGUUCUUCCCCUUUGGGGUCGGUAUACAGGUGGUGCAUGGUUGUCGUCAGCUCGUGUCGUGAGAUGUUGGGUUAAGUCCCGCAACGAGCGCAACCCUCGUUCCAUGUUGCCAGCACGUGAUGGUGGGGACUCAUGGGAGACUGCCGGGGUCAACUCGGAGGAAGGUGGGGAUGACGUCAAAUCAUCAUGCCCCUUAUGUCUUGGGCUUCACGCAUGCUACAAUGGCCGGUACAAAGGGUUGCGAUACUGUGAGGUGGAGCUAAUCCCAAAAAGCCGGUCUCAGUUCGGAUUGAGGUCUGCAACUCGACCUCAUGAAGUCGGAGUCGCUAGUAAUCGCAGAUCAGCAACGCUGCGGUGAAUACGUUCCCGGGCCUUGUACACACCGCCCGUCAAGUCACGAAAGUCGGUAACACCCGAAGCCGGUGGCCCAACCCUUGUGGAGGGAGCCG
rnacentral:rRNA from 1 species